UGGAAAGCUAUCUACGCAAUGCUUCGAUAAUGGGUAGGCAAGCCUAUUGGUGGGAAGGCGCGAUUUUCGGUAAACAUGGUGGGGGGUAAAGCUUACAGGCAUCGUAUCAGAGGCUGUCCUGAGAGACGAUCAGCCACUGGACUGAGACUAGCCCAAGCUCCUACGGAAGCAGCAGUGGGAAAUUUGACAUGGCGCAAGCUGAUCCAGCAUUGCUGCGUGAGUGAAGAAGGCUUCGGGUGUAAGCUCUUUUGUCAGGGAAGAAACGGUGGAGGUGAUACAUCUGCUAAUGACGGUACUGAAGAAUAAGCACCGGCUAACUACGUGCCAGCAGCCGCGGUAAUACGUAGGGUGCAAGCGUUAAUCGGAAUUACUGGGCGUAAAGCGUGCGCAGGCGGUUGUGCAAGACAGAUGUGAAAUCCCCGGGCUCAACCUGGGAAUUGCAUUUGUGACUGCACGGCUAGAGUGUGUCAGAGGGGGGUAGAAUUCCACGUGUAGCAGUGAAGUGCGUAGAGAUGUGGAGGAAUACCGAUGGCGAAGGCAGCCCCCUGGGAUAACACUGACGCUCAUGCACGAAAGCGUGGGGAGCAAACAGGAUUAGAUACCCUGGUAGUCCACGCCCUAAACGAUGUCUACUAGUUGUCGGGUCUUAAUUGACUUGGUAACGCAGCUAACGCGUGAAGUAGACCGCCUGGGGAGUACGGUCGCAAGAUUAAAACUCAAAGGAAUUGACGGGGACCCGCACAAGCGGUGGAUGAUGUGGAUUAAUUCGAUGCAACGCGAAAAACCUUACCUACCCUUGACAUGUACGGAAGCCUCGAGAGAUUGAGGCGUGCUCGAAAGAGAGCCGUAACACAGGUGCUGCAUGGCUGUCGUCAGCUCGUGUCGUGAGAUGUUGGGUUAAGUCCCGCAACGAGCGCAACCCUUGUCAUUAGUUGCUACAUUUGGUUGGGCACUCUAAUGAGACUGCCGGUGACAAACCGGAGGAAGGUGGGGAUGACGUCAAGUCCUCAUGGCCCUUAUGGGUAGGGCUUCACACGUCAUACAAUGGUACAUACAGAGGGCUGCCAACCCGCGAGGGGGAGCUAAUCCCAGAAAGUGUAUCGUAGUCCGGAUUGCAGUCUGCAACUCGACUGCAUGAAGUUGGAAUCGCUAGUAAUCGCGGAUCAGCAUCGCGUAUGGCUC
rnacentral:rRNA from 1 species